GGAAGUUGGAGACAGUGAAGAUGAAGAUGAAGAUAUAGAUGAAGAUUUCUCAAUGGAAUUUGCAGAUUUUGAAAAAAUGCGGAUGCUGACUUAUGUCAAUGAAAUCAUGCACUGUGAGAACAGUAAUUGUGAUGAGGCUGAUCAUGAGCGCCACCAUCAGUUUAUUGGCAGCCCUGAAAUGAUAGUCAAUAGAGAG